CAGCAGCCGCGGUAAAACGGAGGGGGCUAGCGUUGUUCGGAAUUACUGGGCGUAAAGCGCACGUAGGCGGGUUUCUAAGUCAGGGGUGAAAUCCUGGAGCUCAACUCCAGAACUGCCCUUGAUACUGGAAGUCUUGAGUAUGGGAGAGGUGAGUGGAACUGCGAGUGUAGAGGUGAAAUUCGUAGAUAUUCGCAAGAACACCAGUGGCGAAGGCGGCUCACUGGCCCAUAACUGACGCUGAGGCACGAAAGCGUGGGGAGCAAACAGGAUUAGAUACCCGCGUAGUCCCUGUCUCUUAUAA
rnacentral:rRNA from 1 species